rnacentral:rRNA from 1 species
CCUACGGGUGGCAGCAGUGAGGAAUAUUGGUCAAUGGACGCAAGCCUGAACCAGCCAUGUCGCGUGCAGGAAGACGGCCCUACGAGUUGUAAACUGCUUUUGUACGAGGGUAAAUCCCGACACGUGUAUCGGGUUGAAAGUAUCGUACGAAUAAGGAUCGGCUAACUCCGUGCCAGCAGCCGCGGUAAUACGGAGGAUUCAAGCGUUAUCCGGAUUUAUUGGGUUUAAAGGGUGCGUAGGCGGGUCGAUAAGUUAGAUGUGAAAUCCUGGGGCUCAACUCUAGCACUGCCUUUGAUACUGGCGGGCUAGAGUUUAGUUGCGGUAGGCGGAAUGUGUGGUGUAGCGGUGAAAUGCAGAGAGAUCACACAGAACACCGAUUGCGAAGGCAGCUUACCAAACUACGACUGACGUUGAGGCACGAAAGCGUGGGGAGCAAACAGGAUUAGAUACCCUAGUAGUC